AACAUGACAGUGUUUCAAACACGCCACAACACAACCUGCUCUGCAUGGGACAUUGUUACUGUAAUUUUUUUUUAUAUAAUUGAUCCGAUGACCCUCUUGUAGGACUAGGGUUAUGGGUUAGGGUUAUGGGUUAGGGUCAGGGGUUAAAGGUUAUGGUCUGACCUCCGUGGCUGAUGACCCUCUUGUAGGACUAGGGUUAUGGGUUAGGGUCAGGGGUUAAAGGUUAUGGUCUGACCUCCGUGGCUGAUGACCCUCUUGUAGGACUAGGGUUAUGGGUUAGGGUCAGGGGUUAAAGGUUAUGGUCUGACCUCCGCGGCUGAUGACCCUCUUGUAGGACUAGGGUUAUGGGUUAGGGUUAUGGGUUAAAGGUUAUGGUCUGACCUCCGCGGCUGAUGACCCUCUUGUAGGACUAGGGUUAUGGGUUAGGGUCAGGGGUUAAAGGUUAUGGUCUGACCUCCGCGGCUGAUGACCCUCUUGUAGGACUAGGGUUAUGGGUUAGGGUUAUGGGUUAGGGUCAGGGGUUAAAGGUUAUGGUCUGACCUCCGUGGCUGAUGAUCCUCUUGUAGGACUAGGGUUAUGGGUUAGGGUCAGGGGUUAAAGGUUAUGGUCUGACCUUCGCGGCUGAUGACCCUCUUGUAGGACUAGGGUUAUGGGUUAGGGUCAGGGGUUAAAGGUUAUGGUCUGACCUCCGCGGCUGAUGACCCUCUUGUAGGACUAGGGUUAUGGGUUAGGGGUUAAAGGUUAUGGUCUGACCUCCGUGGCUGAUGACCCUCUUGUAGGACUAGGGUUAUGGGUUAGGGGUUAAAGGUUAUGGUCUGACCUCCGUGGCUGAUGACCCUCUUGUAGGACUAGGGUUAUGGGUUAGGGUCAGGGGUUAAAGGUUAUGGUCUGACCUCCGCGGCUGAUGACCCUCUUGUAGGACUAGGGUUAUGGGUUAGGGGUUAAAGGUUAUGGUCUGACCUCCGUGGCUGAUGACCCUCUUGUAGGACUAGGGUUAUGGGUUAGGGUUAGGGGUUAAAGGUUAUGGUCUGACCUCCGUGGCUGAUGACCCUCUUGUAGGACUAGGGUUAUGGGUUAGGGUUAGGGGUUAAAGGUUAUGGUCUGACCUCCGUGGCUGAUGACCCUCUUGUAGGACUAGGGUUAUGGGUUAGGGUCAGGGGUUAAAGGUUAUGGUCUGACCUCCGCGGCUGAUGACCCUCUUGUAGGACUAGGGUUAUGGGUUAGGGGUUAAAGGUUAUGGUCUGACCUCCGUGGCUGAUGACCUUCUUGUAGGACUAGGGUUAUGGGUUAGGGGUUAAAGGUUAUGGUCUGACCUCCGUGGCUGAUGACCUUCUUGUAGGACUAGGGUUAUGGGUUAGGGGUUAAAGGUUAUGGUCUGACCUCCGUGGCUGAUGACCUUCUUGUAGGACUAGGGUUAUGGGUUAGGGGUUAAAGGUUAUGGUCUGACCUCCGCGGCUGAUGACCCUCUUGUAGGACUAGGGUUAUGGGUUAGGGGUUAAAGGUUAUGGUCUGACCUCCGUGGCUGAUGACCUUCUUGUAGGACUAGGGUUAUGGGUUAGGGGUUAAAGGUUAUGGUCUGACCUCCGCGGCUGAUGACCCUCUUGUAGGACUAGGGUUAUGGGUUAGGGUUAUGGGUUAGGGUCAGGGGUUAAAGGUUAUGGUCUGACCUCCGUGGCUGAUGACCCUCUUGUAGGACUAGGGUUAUGGUUAGGGUCAGGGGUUAAAGGUUAUGGUCUGACCUCCGCGGCUGAUGACCCUCUUGUAGGACUAGGGUUAUGGGUUAGGGUCAGGGGUUAAAGGUUAUGGUCUGACCUCCGUGGCUGAUGACCCUCUUGUAGGACUAGGGUUAUGGGUUAGGGUUAUGGUUAGGGUCAGGGGUUAAAGGUUAUGGUCUGACCUCCGUGGCUGAUGAUCCUCUUGUAGGACUAGGGUUAUGGGUUAGGGUCAGGGGUUAGGGUCAGGGGUUAAAGGUUAUGGUCUGACCUCCGCGGCUGAUGACCCUCUUGUAGGACUAGGGUUAUGGGUUAGGGUUAUGGGUUAGGGUCAGGGGUUAAAGGUUAUGGUCUGACCUCCGCGGCUGAUGACCCUCUUGUAGGACUAGGGUUAUGGGUUAGGGUUAUGGUUAGGGUCAGGGGUUAAAGGUUAUGGUCUGACCUCCGUGGCUGAUGACCCUCUUGUAGGACUAGGGUUAUGGGUUAGGGUUAUGGUUAGGGUCAGGGGUUAAAGGUUAUGGUCUGACCUCCGCGGCUGAUGACCCUCUUGUAGGACUAGGGUUAUGGGUUAGGGUCAGGGGUUAAAGGUUAUGG